rnacentral:rRNA from 1 species
AGCAGCCGCGGUAAUUCCAGCUCCAAUAGCGUAUAUUAAAGUUGUUGCAGUUAAAAAGCUCGUAGUUGAAUUUCGAGACCGGUUUAUUGGUCGUGCUUUUGUACGUACUGGUAUAAUCGGUUUCUCUCUUCUGACGAACUAUAAUGCCAUUAAUUUGGUGUUAUGGGAAAUCAGGACUGUUACUUUGAAAAAAUUAGAGUGUUUAAAGCAGGCUCACGCUUGAAUACAUUAGCAUGGAAUAACGGAAUAGGACGUUUGAUUCUAUUUUGUUGGUUUCUAGGAUCGACGUAAUGAUUAAUAGGGAUAGUUGGGGGCAUUAGUAUUCAAUUGUCAGAGGUGAAAUUCUUGGAUUUAUUGAAGACUAACUACUGCGAAAGCAUUUGCCAAGGAUGUUUUCAUUAAUCAAGAACGAAAGUUAGGGGAUCGAAGACGAUCAGAUACCGUCGUAGUCUUAACCAUAAACUAUGCCGACUAGGGAUCGGAUGAUGUUAAUUUUAAUGACUCA